UACGUAGGUGGCUAGCGUUGUCCGGAUUUACUGGGCGUAAAGAGCGCGCAGGCGGUCGUUCAAGUCGAGUGUGAAAGCCCCCGGCUCAACUGGGGAGGGUCACUCGAUACUGAUCGACUCGAAGGCAGGAGAGGGAAGCGGAAUUCCCGGUGUAGUGGUGAAAUGCGUAGGUAUCGGGAGGAACACCAGUGGCGAAGGCGGCUUUCUGGCCUGUUCUUGACGCUGAGGCGCGAAAGCUAGGGUAGCAAACGGG
rnacentral:rRNA from 1 species